rnacentral:snoRNA from 16 species
GGCGAUGACGACUGAAUCCAAUGCUGAGCAAAGGCGAUGAUUGGCCCCAGAGUGGCUGAGC